rfam:Ovis aries breed Texel chromosome 16, whole genome shotgun sequence.
UGCUGCCCUCGGCUUCUCUACAGUGCUGCCUUGUCGCAUGGGGAUCAAGCAGCAUUGUACAGGGCUAUGAAGGCACUG